rnacentral:rRNA from 1 species
CAAUAGCGUAUAUUAAAGUUGUUGCGGUAAAAAAGCUCGUAGUUGGAUUUCUGUUGAAGACGUCCGGUCCAUACCACGUAUGCGCAUCUGGCUCGGCUUCGGCAUCCUCUCGAAAGACGUUUCUGCGCUUGAUUGCGUGGAGCGGAUCUCGGGACUUUUACUUUGAGGAAAUUAGAGUGUUCACGGCAGGCUAUCGCCAGAAUACAUUAGCAGUGGAAUAAUACUAUAGGAUCUCGGUUCUUAUUUUGGUUUGGUUUCUAGAAUUGAGAUAAUGAUUAAGUAGGGACAAGUUGGGGGCAUUCGUAUCAACACGUUAGAGGUAGAAAUUCUUGGAUCGUGUUGCGACGAACUACUGACGAAAGCUAUUUG